AUAAGACAUUUAUCUUAGGAUAGAAAUCAUCCUACACAGUUUUUCAAUAGGAACAUAAAUUCUCUGCAAAUCAACAUCAUAUUAACCCAUUUGAGGGAUUAAAGCUUUAAAUUAAAUUACUUAUUUUACCUGUUUAUAUUUUAAUACAGGAAAUAUUGUUACACACAUUUUUUUAAUAGGUAAGAAGAAAAAUGAAGGUAUGGUAUAAUUUACCAGUAUAAUUGCCCAUUGUCAUGCUGUACUCUAUCAAUGGAACUACAAAACACAGUGUAAAUAUAUAGUCUCCUUCUAUGAACUAGAUGCUAUGAAAUCAUGGAAUAAAAACAACAAAAAACACAACAAAAGAUUUUCAAAGAAAAGAAAAUAGAAAUAAUUACAUUAAAUAAGAAAGAAAUAAGUUAUUGCUAUUGACAAAGUAUUAGUAACUUUGUCUCAGAUACAUUCAUGAUGAUCAGGUCCAGAACCUGUUCACUGUGUUUUAAAGCUGUACAAACCAACAGGUACCUUAAUUGCCACUGAGCUAUUUUUCUUUAGGUAUUGUCUCUUGAGUAAAUGUUACCUUCAAAGUUAUAAUACUUACAGACCAGUUGAUUGGGAAUCAUGUAACUGUUGAGGAAGAAAACUAGUCACUUCUUUUG
rnacentral:lncRNA from 1 species